UCUUCACUGUAAAGGGUUUAAACACUGUUUCCCAUGCUUGUUCAAUGAACCAUAAACAGUUAAUGAACAUGCACCUGUGGAACGGUCGUUAAGGCACUAACAACUUACAGACGGUAACCAUCAUAACCGUAAAAAAAAGACGUGUGGAUGAACUGCUCACUGAAGACGGGACCGCCUGGCAUCAGGGGCGGUUCUAGACCAUUUCAACUGGGGGAGGCCAAGCUGGGGCCAGGUAAAUUAGACAUUGUUGUCAUCAUUUUCUUCACUGCAUUGCAGGCAUUAGCAGGCAAAAGACGAUGUUCAUAAUCAUCAUCGUUGCGACUGUCUAAUAACGGGGUAAAAAAAAGAACUAUAGCAAAAAUUUGUUAUGUAAAAAUUAUUUCCUACUCCACAUUUAUAGGGGGGCCACAAGGGGGUCCAAAAUUGUUGUCACAGGGACACUGCCUGGCAUUCCUGUGGUUGACUCCGUUUCUGCUGUCACAGGGACUCCUAAGAAAAAAAUUCAUGGUUUAAUAUAGAAUGUUCAUUCAAAUGAUUUUAUCCGGUGUGGCUCAUGCAACGGUAUGUAUUUUUUGUUGUUGUCUAUACAUACAGAAUAUAUUUGAGUACACUCGCAAUGGCCGCUAAGUCCACCCAUUAUGCCAUAAUUAACUUGAAUGGGAACGCCUGUUCUAUUUCUAUGGCAGCACAUGCAUUCAGGACAGCAUAAAAUAUAUACAUAAAAUAUACAUAAAUCCAUGACCGUCGCAGCCUUAUACAGUACUGUACAGUAGAGUUCGGUACAAUAGACUACACGAGUUGAAUACACUGAGUAUUGUGCUGUACUUUGAUGUCCAAACGUGUGAAACAGACGUCUAUGAUUUGGUUCAGAUUCAGAGGGAGAUUUUACCUACACAAUUCAGUAGGAAUUGUUAAAAGUAGUCCUCGUGCAUUGAGUUGUAUGGGCUGUUAAACUUUGAAAUCAAUGGUUUUUGUUUGACCAUACAAUUUAAAGUGAAAAGGUCGCAGCGCAUUUCGGUCAAUGUUGAAUUUCCCCGUAACUUUAACUUUGUAACAUGGCUGUGCCCCCUUACACUCACAACUUCUAAUACCCUCAUACCCUCGUAUGCAGUAAAUUGCCAUGUGCUGCUCGGCUGCCCAGAGUGGCUCACUUGUGGGUGUGCUGGCAGCAUAUAGCAGCAUGUUCGCCAUUUCAUGAAUUUAUUUACAUUACAAGUAAAUAGUAAUAUGCUCGAAACUGCUCUGGUGACAAACAAACUUUGCUGCCCUGUUUCCAAGCGUCCCCAUGUCUGGGAGAACCUAUUCAAGUAGCUAGCUAACAGCCAUGGGGGAGAGUGAAAGGACAGCAGCCCCACUAUCAAAGUGAGAGAGAAGGCUUUUCUGGACAGGGCAGAUACAGAGCUGUGAAAGCCUGUCUACAGAUGGCGAGGUCCCAAAGAAGAGCAGUGUUUCUCAGUCCUGGUCCUGGGGACUCAAAGGGAUGGAUGUUUUUGGCCUCGACACUACACAGCUGAUUAAAAAUGAUCAACUCCUCAAGCUUCAAGUGAUACCCUGCAAAUGGAGAUUCCUUCAAAACGAUUGCCUACAGUUACCGUGUAGGGCACUGCAAGGUUUGGAGACCAGGGCCAUCUUGGACUGCCUCCUAGGGGAAUUCAGGCACCUGUGCACCUGUGAAGGCUACCUGUGUCCUGCAUAACGUCAUGAGGUUGGACACGAGGAUCAGGAGGGGAUUUGCAAUUCGCCUCUGUAUGACAGAGGAAUGGUGUGCUGCUCUGUAGAAUGUUUCAAGGAUGGGGGCCAACAACUCAGCAAUCCGUGUUUGGGAGAUCUUCACCUCCUACUUCGAAGAGGGUGCUGUUCCCUGGCAAGACCAUAGACUACACUAUGCACAACCAAGGGCUAUUUUAAGAGCCAUCCACAUUGCAAUAAGAGUAUUCUUCCCUUUACUUAGCUAUGUCACCUGCAGUUAUUUAAUUCCCAGUUUCUCUCCCUUUUGAUCUCUACUUCUCAGGUGAGGGUGCUGUCUGUACAAAAACAAAACAAGCUCUUUUAAGAGCCAUAUUGAUUUUUUUUGGAACAAUAACCCACACCUACACACUUCUGAUUGAUGGAUUGCGUUGUGUACUUAAGCAGGCUCAGUUGUAUAACUGUGGCUCCUUCCACCUUCAAGGAAUAUGAAAGAGGACCAACCAUGGAGAAUAGUAAGACACUUCAUUAUUACUAUAACUACGCUAUAUUGUUUGUCCUAAUGUGUCUGUGCAUGCUUUUCAGUGCAAAGUACUCUUCAGCCACUUAGUGUGGACACCAGGUAAGGCCUGAUUCCUGUUGAACACGGUCUUUAACUACCUGAUUUUCACAAUAAGUCUCUCUCCUUCACUUUAUCCCUCUACCCAUCACCCUAAAUCCUGUAGGUUAUAUCAGCUGUGUCUGUGAACCCCUCCCUCAUCUGAACUGGCUACAUAGAGGGCACAUCAUGAUCAGAGGUAUGUUUUGAUGUGAGAGAGGAUGCCAACCCCCAGUCUCGUCAUCACCAACUCACUCGCUCUUAAGAUAACCUUCGGACCAACUGGGUGCACAAGGCUGGUUAGGAGACACAGCUAGAUACACUAUUGUGUAAUUGUGAUGAACAGCAACAAUAAGUUUAGUAGCACUGUAAUUCAAUAAUCAUACGCUGUCGUCCCUGCUCCUCUGUUCUUACCUCUUUACCUUUCUGUCUUUUACACUCAUACCUCUCGCCCCACCUCCUUUCUUCCUCUGUUUUUGCAUUAGCACACCAGAUGUACAUUGAAGUAGAGAUUGAACUUGUAUUUAUAAUAUUACAAUUAUAAUAUUUAUAAUGCAUGUAUUUAUAACACUUGGAUAAUGAACAUGUUCAAUAAAG